UACAGAGGCCUCGAGCGUUGUUCGGAAUUACUGGGCGUAAAGGGAAUGUAGGUGGUGACGUAAGUCAGAUGUGAAAGCCCUGGGCUUAACCUGGGGAAGUGCAUUUGAAACUGCGUUGCUUGAGUACGAUAGAGGAAAGCGGAAUUCCCAGUGUAGGAGUGAAAUCCGUAGAUAUUGGGAGGAAUACCGAUGGCGAAGGCAGCUUUCUGGCUCGUAACUGACACUGAGAUUCGAAAGCGUGGGUAGCAAACAGG
rnacentral:rRNA from 1 species